GGCAGCAGUCACUCCAGAUGGCCCGCUGAAGCUGGGAGUCCUGAGUUAAUUUCAAGCCAAAUUUCUCACUCCCUGGAGGAGCAGAGUGGAGGGUGUGUGUGCAUGGGGAAGUCCAAGCUUUUCAUAUCUGGAAAAGAAGACUGGGAGAGGCCAGCAUGAAUGGCCACUGUCCUCGCCAAAUCUGGAUGGUAUGUCUUAGGUGGGAUUACAUGUAGAAUAAGAUGAAGUCUUAUCUCACCUCUGCAAAAUGGAGACUGCCUAUAGUAAUUGGCAGAGAACAUGAACAUGGCAAAGGAGUUUCAUCAAUCAAGGAACUUAAAACUCCAAAUUGGACUCGCACAAUUUCUACCAGAAACCUGCCACUUUAGUAGCACGGUAUUGCAAAUUAUUUCUUAAUCAGUUUGCCAAGCAGUUUACAAACUUACUAUACAAACGUAAUAGAGUUAAUUCUCCGGAGGCUCGGAUAAUUAAUGAAGCAUUUAGAUAUGAAGAUAGCAUGCGGAAAACAGCCACAACCAACAUGUGCAUUGCUUUUUUAAAAAAAUCAGUGACAAUGACAAAUGUCAUAUUAAUACCUGAAAAGCAAAUUAUUUUAAUACAUCCCGAAUGGAGUGCCAUUACCAUGUCCUUUACAGCCUUCCUUUCCUCAGACCCAUCUGGGACGGGGUCUGAAAUGCCACUUUUGACAUUCUCUCCAUAAAAAAUACUAGAAAAUGUUAACUACUAUACUGAAAAGAGAUCACGCUCACCUCACCAUGGCAGAUGGCCACUGAGAUACACCGGGCACUACAUCGACAGUACAUCUCACUACAGGUGGGUCCUCCGAUGGAUUAUUUCAACUGCCACAAUCCAUUAAGGGGAGGAGGAGGAUGGAAGAAACCAAGUGCUUCAUUUUUAACUGAAGCAAGGUAGGGAGUUUUAUUUUACUAUAAACAGCACAACCGUUAAAUGUCUUCAUUAAGCAAACUCACUUUUGAGCCCAUUUUCUGACCAACAGUCCUCAAAGUUCAAAAUGGAAAUACCCUCCCAACAAAGCCUGUUUUUUUAAAGACAUUGCACCACUGAAAUCUCAGCAGCUCAACCUUCCUGGGUAAUCCAGAUACUCUGGUUACUAAGCUGGUUACACUGGACUCUUUCUACAAUCUCUGGGAGCUCUUCGAGGUGGUUGUCACCUGUCCUCUGUUUCAUUUCCAGUUCUUCUUUUCCCUGACCUGCCUUCAGAUUCUCCUUUAUCUUCUACCCUUGACCUGCCUUCUGGUUUCAAAUAGCCUUGUUCCUUCUCCAGGCAUGACAUGUCACACACCGUCCCUCGCAGAGCCCCCUCAGAAUCCUUCUGUCCCUCAAUCCCAAAUGCUUAAGUUCAUUUGCUUUGAGGACAACCGGUUGUCAGGCUAAGGCAGCAGUUCUGUCUGCCUUGGUAAAGGAAAGCAGAUAAUACAAUCCAGGAAACAUGAGCACCAGAACAUAAUGCCACAUUCAAAACAACGUCAUGCUGACAUCACACAACGGCACCACUCACAGUCACUUUUACUUUCCCCAAGGGAUAGAUCAACAUUAAGUAACUUCAACAUUCCCAGCAGGGAUGGCAUUUCUCACAGAAUUUUACUGACACCGGUUGGUUUCUCUAAUUGGCAAAAAUUACAUUUGCAAUUUAAAAAAAAUUACUACCACUUUGUAGAAAAUAAAUUCUACUGAGGGUGGGAGCAGACUUAAGGAUGGCUCCUUAAGAUGGAACGGAGCAUAAAAUGCUUUGGGUCUAAUAGUUACGUUUUUUCAGCCACAAAAAGCCAAAUUGAAUAUGUUCCUUUGAAAAAGGUCUCACUGACAUGUAACAAAUUUGUAUAGAAAAAAAAAAAAAAAAAGGUGGUACCGGGCCACAUUUCAAUACUACUCAGAGACAAUGGUGGAUGUGCAUGCAAGUCCCCACUGAGUCCUACGAUAUAGAAAUUCCUUUGAUAUUACAAAAUACAAAAAUAUUUUAUCAGAACUCUCAUUUACAUUGCAUUUACAAUGGACAUGUAAAUAACUUAGUCUUGGGUCCUGGCUAAUAAACAAAUUACUUACUGAAAAAAGGGUCCUAAAAGUAAGAGAACCAGAGAGGAUAAAAGCGAGCAGGAAACAAUUUACCAUCUUGAGAGAUGGCAACUUAACACAGAACUGAUGGGAAGGAAGUGACCAACCCUGGCCUCGAUAGAGUCUACUGUGUUUCCAAAGUGAAAUGUGCAAAUAAUAUUCAACAUGCCAAGAACUGUGACUACCUAUUGAGUCAAUCUGUAACCUUGCCUCCAUCUACUGACAGCAUUUUCCCUUUUCUCCCCCAUAAGCCACCCCCAAAAGCGCUUUAACCUUUAAAACAGUGCAAGUUUCUGACUUUACAUUCUUAGCUCCCAUCUUCUCCCAUUCCCUGAUCCCAAUCAUAUUAAGAAAUGAUACAGUUUUUGCUCUUCUGUCUUUUCCUGCUGUGCAACUGUCCUCUGCCACCUAAUGUGGAAGAUUUGGGGAGGCCGUAGGAGCUGUAUUUGUGCAGCAGCUCAUCGCUUGUGACGUAUCGCAGGCGCGCUGGCUGGGGGAUGGGUUCUCCUAGGAAAUAGCCCUCGUUGUCAGACUCUGAAGAGGAGGAGCAGGUGGAACACCAAUCAUACUCGGCGAAGUAGGGUCCCCAGCGGUCCCCAAAGGCAUUCUGCAAAGCCAGGUCCGACACAGUCCUAGGGCACUGGCCGUACAGGUCCCUCCGGGACCCAUGCCCCAUGCUCUCCUGGAAGCUCCGCUGGCGCAUAAAUUGGUCAUAGUCCUCCCUGGCUCUCAGAGGGGGCCUAUCUUUUAACCGGGAGAUGGCCUCGCGUUCGCUGGCCAGGUGGAGGGCGUUGUCGGAGCGAGAGCGUCGGGAACGCCUGGACCUGUGAGGUCGGAAACGGCGGUUGUCGUCGCGUGAAGUAGCUCUUCUCCGGGUGCGUUCGCUCAUGGGCUGGAUCCUCACGCCCUCCUGCCCUGGCAGCUUGCUGCCCGCCAUCCCUCCAUCAAAAUCAAAGCUCUGAUGCAUCCUUCCGUGGGACUGCAGGUCUCUGUAGCCAAUGGGGUUGCUGAGCUGGUGGAGGUUUCCCUCCAUCUCCUGGUACUGCUGGGCAGAGAGCAGGCUGCGAACUGACUCUGCGCUCCGGAACUGCAUGGACGAGUUAAGAGUGCCCAUGUUGCUCAGCUUCUCAGACACAUUCAUUCCAGAGUCUUUGCUGAGGUCAGGCAUGGAAAAUCGGGAUAGGUGCUCCUGGCGCUUGGCACCACCAUCAGCAGAGAGGCCUGGGGAAGAGAGGAGGGGACCACAGAGAUUAAUAGAGAUGUGCAGCAAUGGGUAUCACUGUCACUGCUGGUCAUCUAUCUAGGGUCAUUAUAUACCGUUGUGAAGUUGUGUACUGCACAAAGGCCCUCUCAGGGGGCACAUGUGCCUGUGAGGGGGUUCUCUCCACUCCACAGUAGGUCACUAUCUACCUAGAGGGGGCACUUGCUUAAAAUGCUUCCAGAGAUGUAUUUUACCAGUUACUAGUUCCUCCAAAGGCUCAUCAAAGUUACUAAGAGCCCACUGUGUAUCUUAUGUAUGAUGCUUCCUCUAUUUGGAGUUUCACUUUGCAAAGUACUUUAAUUACAUUUUUGAUUCUAAUCAUGCACUAUAAGCUCUGUAGGACAGAUAUUUUGGAUGAGCAAACUUUAAGCUAUAGAGGCUGGAUCAUGCCCAAGCUGUUUCUGGCAAUACCAAACACUGGUUCCACAAUAUUGGGCCAGUUCACUUCUCUGUUAGCCUGCAGCGGUUUCCUGCUUUGCCUGCUGUCCCUAAGUGGCAGGUGGCUCCCUAUCAAAAGUGUCUUGGACACUAAGUGACUCCCUAGGUAUAGAUAGAGAAAUAUUUACUCUCUCAGACCAUUCAGUGAAUGCUCCAAGGUUGUAAAUGGGUCUCUAGCAGCCAGAAGAUGUGUGUGGGACCCCAGGGGACCUCUCAGUCGCAUGGGGAGGGACUUUCAAAAGUAAAGCAGUGGGUCUGAUGCUCUCAAACAGUGGGUGCCCCAGCAAUGGACCUCCAUUUCUUAACUGCUGUCAAAUGAGCUCUUGGCAUCCCUGAGAUGAAAACCAUUUUGAAGGUAGUGGCAGAUACUGACUGCAGUAACUUCCAUUUUGCUCAUUUUCAAGCAGAGCUCUCUAAGGAGAUGUUUAAGAAUGGGCCAGGUGGCAAAGUCUCAGCAUUUUCCACUCAUUACAUAUUGCAAGGAUCAGCAAUUUGCCAUUUCUGGUCAUAGACAACAUGCCUUUGGAUUGCAAUGGCCCAUUAUCACCCCUGCUACUGAUUAUUCCUGUCUCCUACUGGGGCCUCCAACUUCCUCUUCCGUGACAAAACCUAAAGCAGUGUUACGAGCACUUUGCAAAAUUACUUGGCAAUAUUUACUAAAGCUAAAUACACAUAUACAUAUAUGAAUUAUAAAUAAAGCCGCUCUGAAUAUCCUUGGCCAUUUUUUGUGGACUUAUGAAUUUCUGUUGGGUGUACGACCAAGAGUAGAAACUCCACAAUUCUCCAUCUUCACUCUUGGUUAUAUAUUCAACAGAAGUUAGUAAGAAGGUCCAAGAAAUGGACAAGGGUACUCAGAGAAGCUUUCUUGUAAUAGCCCAGAAAUGGAAACAACUCAAAUGUCAAUUAUCAGGAAAAUGGAUAAAUAUAUUGUGGUUUUUUCUACCAUUCCCCACUAAAAGGAAUCUAGGCUCUUUAGAAAAAUGGCCAAUUCCAGGAUAAAGGCAAGGAAAUUAAAAGAACCAGGAUCUUGUUAUGCCAUAAAGUGAGAAAGUAUUAAAAAUAAGAUAUGGCAGGGGUUUGUCAGAAGGACACAGGGCCUAACUUGAAGGGGCCCCCACUGGCCAAAUCUGAACAAUUUGAGCACUAAAAUAUUUAAGUGAAGUAAUGAUUUAUAAACCACUGAAACAAAUAGGAAUUCACAAGUCCAUGCUGAUAGCAGAUAAAUAAAAACAUAAAUAAAUAUACAAAUGGGGAAAAGACAGGGCUCUAUGUAUAGUGGAAUGCCAACCGCUGUCAGUAGAGUAAGUUCACAAGAAGGAAGGGGGUGCCAGAUUUGGAAAGUCAUUUUAUAACCAUUGGAGGUAGAGUGCUUCACACAAGAAUCAAAAAGUGUGCUAAAUUUAGGGGGUAAAAUUUGAUGGGAGAGAGCAUUGUUUUAAAGUGUUUCCCUACACAUUGCUUAUUAGUUGCAAGGGAAGAAUUAGUAACUAAACAAAGGUAAAAUCAGACAACACCUUGACCUUAAGUUCAAACUUAACAUCCCUGGUGAGAUGCAACUGCACCCUGCAUGCCUCCAGUUGAGAUGUACUGAGAAGGGCACACUAUCCCUUAUGUAGUAUUCCAGUCGAGAAUGUAUUUCCUGAAUGUAUUCGGGAGGAAACAUUAGACAGAUGCCAAAAGGAGGGACAUUCGUUAUGAAAAAAGGGACUGUAGUCUUAAGACCAGACAAGACUGAGAGAAUGUUCUAGAUGAAAGGGUACGAGGGACACAUGGCAAUUACAUAUAAUACCUGAUCCUGGACUGGAACCUGCUCUGUAGGAAAAAUAAAUGCUAUAAAGUAGGGGUUCCCAGACCUCAGGCUACAGACUGGUUAGGAGCAGGGCCACACAGCAGGAGGUGAGUGGUCAGCAAGGGAAGCUUCAUCUGUAUGUACAGCCACUCCCCAUUGCUCCAACUACUGCCUGACCUCUGCCUCCUGACAGAUCAGCAGCAGCAUUAGAUUCUCAUAGGAGUGUAAACCCUAUUGUGAACUGCUCAUGCAGGAUCUAGGUUGUGUGCUCCUUAUGAGAAUCUCAUGCCUGAUGAUCCAUAACUGUCUCCCAUUACCCCUAGAUGGGACUGUCUAGUUGCAGGAAAACAAGCUCAGGUCUCCCACUGACUCUACCUUAAAGUGAGUUGUGUAAUUAUUUCAGUAUAUAUUACAAUGUAGUAAUAAUAGAAAUAAAGUACAUAAUAAAUGUAAUGCACUUGAACCAUCCCAAAGCCAUCCCCACCCCCUGGCCCCAGUCUGUGGAAAAAUUAUCUUCCAUAAAACCGGUCCCUGGUGCCAAAAAGGCUAGAGACUGCCUCUAUAAAGGAUAACUUUUAGUCAACUGAAAAAAAAAUGGAACAUGGGCAAUAGAUAAAAGUAUUAUGCUAAAUUUACUGUGGUCAAUUAAUAAUGGUGAUAAUGUGGGAGAAGAUCUUUAUUCUUGGGAAAUAUAUAUGGAAGGAUAUGGUGGUAAAUGGCCCAGAUGGAUGCAAUUUGCUCUCAAAUGGUUUAUAAAUAAAAUGUGUGUGUGUGUGCGUGUGUGUGCGUGCAUGUGAACAUGAAAGAACAAAUGUGGCAAAAGGUUAACAAUGGAUCAAUCUACGUAAAGAGUACAUUACAGGUGUUGUUUGUUCUAUUUUUAUAACUUUAAGUCUGAAAUUAUUUCCAAAUAAAAAGUUUCUUUAACAUUGGAA
rnacentral:antisense_RNA from 1 species